GACGAACGCUGGCGGCGUGCUUAACACAUGCAAGUCGAACGAAGAGCGACGGAAGCUUGCUUCUAUCAAUCUUAGUGACGAACGGGUGAGUAACGCGUAAUCAACCUGCCCUUCAGAGGGGGACAACAGUUGGAAACGACUGCUAAUACCGCAUACGAUCUAACCUCGGCAUCGAGGAUAGAUGAAAGGUGGCCUCUACAUGUAAGCUAUCACUGAAGGAGGGGAUUGCGUCUGAUUAGCUAGUUGGAGGGGUAACGGCCCACCAAGGCGAUGAUCAGUAGACGGUCUGAGAGGAUGAACGGCCACAUUGGGACUGAGACACGGCCCAGACUCCUACGGGAGGCAGCAGUGGGGAAUCUUCCGCAAUGGACGAAAGUCUGACGGAGCAACGCCGCGUGAGUGAUGACGGCCUUCGGGUUGUAAAGCUCUGUUAAUCGGGACGAAAGGCCUUCUUGCGAAUAGUGAGAAGGAUUGACGGUACCGGAAUAGAAAGCCACGGCUAACUACGUG
rnacentral:rRNA from 1 species